ensembl:lncRNA
CGCAGAAAUGGGCUUAAAAACAUCUUGAAGACAGUGUUGAGUCAUUGUGCAUUUCCAGCACAAUUUGAUCAAAAAUGACAACGGACAUUUGUACGGACGUAUGUACAGAGAAAAAGUCUGUCGUCCACAUUCAAUUUUGUUGACAUUUUCUUUUAUAUAAUAAACAAACAGUUCACAUGAGGAGAUUCACACUGCAACAAAUAAAUACUACAGAACUUGUACUAGGACUAACUGGACAACAGUGAUAUGCUAGCCGCACUAGAAGCUUAAAGUUGACUUUAAAACAGAACUGGUUUGCCUGGGCCGUACACAUGUUUCAAUGGAUUGCAGACAUUAAAAAAAAACCUUUGUCAUUAAAGGGACAUCCAGAUUUCAAACCCUUGGAACAACGAGCUGCACAACAUAAAAACUCACAAAUUCCCGUUGACCAAACAUUAGGACAACACCGUAUCUUUUUUUCUUUUAAGUAUGCCACUUUACCACGUAGUGAGCCCCUCCUGGGACAAACAUUGAUAUCCUUCGCAAUUUCAACAUGAUUUGAGCAUGACACGUUUACAAACCAGGAUCUUGUAUUGAGAAAAUAAAAACACGUCAGUAACUACAGGUACACUUGGGGACAAAAACACCUUCACAUGAACCAUCCCUCUUAAUUCAUUUCAACAGCAGAGCCAAAUCGAAUAAGUGAUUGUGAACAGCAUACAAUUUGUGACUACUUUCUGUACAAUACUCGGGAGUGGCAGUUUCUAGUUUUUAAAUCUUUAACUGUUAAAUCUUUGCAAGACUAACAACGCUGUCGCAGAGCAACAAUCACUUCCUGGGUGAAUAUCAACAGUCUGGUCGACCUGGGCUGGAUUCCAAUUAUUUUUCCUAAUGAGUUUCCUAAUUUCCUCGAGCUCAGGCUUCAUCGCUCGAGUCUGGAGCCGCAGCCGUAGCGCUAUCAAGGAGCCCCACGGAAUCAGGACAGAUGGACGGCUGAGCGGCCUCAACCUCAUUAAAGGUGACAUAAUUUACCACCAGGUAUGAGUGUGAUUAGCCGUCACAAGCCGUUUAUGAAAAUCUGCCUCUUCUGACAUCACAAGUGGGCGUGUCCAUCUAGACGUAUGAUGUGACAGAUAGAUGAGCAACGUUUGCUGAGAAAUUGUGACGGAGCAUCGGAAUCAAGCCCAGGGUAGAAUUCAACGGGAGCGAGCUUAAGGGAACAUGGCUGCCAAGCUAAAGUACAUUCGGACUGCGUAUUUGUUCCACCUGUGUUCACAGGAGAGCAAGCUGCACUGGAAAAAGCCCUUUCUAGUUUUGCAUCUCCCGUACGGAUUCAAAAAACAGAACGACAAACAAAGAAACUGAGACAAGCCAAGCCCAAACAAUAGACAAACAGUUUAAAGAAGAAAAUAUAGAAUACAUUUUCUUUUUCUUUUUUUCUUGAACAAGAAAGUUCCUGCCAGAGUGUACAUCCGGUGUCAGACAGCAUUCACGUAGGGCAAAACAGUCCCUGUUGCAAAAACAGGACAGUCACAAAUAAAGUGCCAAGCAACGAGCGGACUUAACUUUGCACAACCGAAAAACAAAAUUACAGCGUAUAACCCAGUCUGAGUUUUGAAUACAAUAAACAAAAAGCAACAAUGCCGAGAAGGGUUCCGACUCAUAAGCCCUCGGUCAGAGGGGAGUUGGGGUUGCGUCGCACACUGAUGAAGUCAUGCGGUCAACUGUAAAACUUAGCGUAAACAUACGUCUAUUAAUGCAAACAAUCAGUGCAAGUGUCCGUCUUUUAAACAAGGGUGGAGCUAAGGAUGUCCUGUUAUCCAGGCCAGCUCAAGACAUCCAAGGAGUUGUGCUGCGGUUUACCAUUUGGGUCGGGACGGAGUGUUAAGAGUUGCUACGGGGGGAAUAAACCGGGAGAUAACAAGCCAGUCAGAAUCGUCAGACCAACAAAAAUAAUCCGGAAAAAAGGCGUGGUAAAAAUAACGAAAACAUAGGUUCAAAACCUUGCGGUCGUUUAGCGUCAACACGCCAAAAACCUAGGACUUUACCUCACAAAAUACAUUCUUGGAUAUAUUCUCCCCCCCCCCCCAAAUCAAACCUGUAUGAGCAUUACGUUGAGACAAAGUUAACAGAGUCACGCAACAGGAAACUGGAGUUCCUCGUUGCGUGGGAGAAACCAGCACAUGCAUCCGCGGUCGACAGCUAGCUCACUUAUUUUCCUAUUUUACACGGAUCAACCAGGGCAGCGAGUAGAAUGGCCUUCGUAAAGAGGUCGGGACUGUCAGUCGAGGGCAUGCGUUUCGUUUUUAUCGGCUUAGCAUAUGUACAACGGCGACCUGUGCUAACUAACAGUUGUUCUCUGACGCAACACAACAGAGGAAUCCACAGCGAGAGUUGAGCUAAACAUGACAAAUAAUAAAAAAAAACACUUCUGUAUAUAUAUAUCAUAUAUAUACACAUGUUUAUAUAUUCUAUAUGAUCGUCCAUAUAAUAUGUUAUAUAUUUGAUUCAGCAACGUUAUCGUCUGAUUUAUAAACAAACCAAAAAAAUCUCAUUUGCAUAGGAAUCCCAAUUGGUUAAAGGCGACCGACCCGCUGAUGGACACAAACCAAACAUGUAAACUUAAAGUCUUGGUAGCUGCAGAAACUUGAAAACAAAAUGGCUGAGUUUGGAUACGUGUUUGGCAUCGGCUGGAAGGUCACUCCCAGAGCUGCACAUCGGUCAGAAACCAUGCAGCCUAGCAAGACCCACACAUGAAAUAAUAAUCUGAUCCAAAACACAUCGUUUCAUGUACAUGUGAAACAUGAUACGCAAGAGAACAGUAGAUUUGUACAUUUUUCCAAUUAAUUAAGUGUAAACAUUGGUCACUGAUUAAAAAAUAUAUAUAAUAAAAACAAUUAAACAGUUUAGGACCUACUACUUUACCGAAAACAAGUUGUGUUCAUUUUACAGUUUAGAGACCAUGAUUGACCACGAGACACUGAAAGUGAUAAAGCUGAUAGAGUAUCUGGCGAAUAGUGUUAAUAUUGGUAGAAUAUUUGUAAUCGUUAAAAAUAAAAACACGUUUCCCUGAUAGCCUUGUUGGUUGGACCUAAACACAUUUCAUGUGGUAGCCAAGCGUUUUUUGUGUUAUAUUCUUUAAAUGACAUCUGCUUGCAGUAUCUUAUUUAGAUACAUUCCCCAUAAAGAACCCAUAAAUAUAACCACUCAGUCCUAUGGGUUCUUCUUAUUAUACAAAAAUUUCAAUUCAUAUUUAAAUGAUUGAUAAAAAAUAAAAUAAAAAUGAAGCGCACCUGAACACAGAAAUCCAACCGGCACGAAAGUGCUACCCCUGGUCAAACAGGGACAAUGAAUGCUCUAGUUUCUGAUUGGCUUAAUCAGUGAGACUUCACAAAGCUCCUUAUCAUUAUAUCCAGAAUGCAUAGAUGCCAGGGGUACCUUCCGAAGAGUAUCUCAUUUUCAGAAUGGCAAGAUGGCAUUUUCAGAAGACAAUUUCAACAAAUGUAUUUAUACAGUGACCAGUGUAUUACACAGGUUUGAUUUUGAACCUUUACAGACAUCUUGUCUAAGGAUGCUGGAGUCCGGAAAGGACGUUUUAACUCGUCUUCCCAACGGCUAUGGGAGAAGUUCAGUCGACCACUGCCGGUCGGUCCUCAACCUGAUCCCAGACAAACGGAGAGCCGUACGAACGUCAGAAGUUAAUCUAAUGUCAUAUAUUCGAGACCACAUUGUACCUUAUUAUGCCAAUCAGAAACCACAACUCCAGUAACACGUGUGAAGUGCCGUCCCUGUGAUUUGAUUUAGAGGUUUGGUUAGUAUUUAAACAUUAAAAUAAGCCACUUAAAAAGAAACACAAGAGUAACACCCAAACGUUGUAGUGUAACAAAGGCUAUUUUCAGAUAUUAAGAACCACUUGAACUUCCGUUUAGUGAGAGCAAUCUGCUCAAGGAGCGGAAAGCCUCCCCAUAACUGCACCUUCCAACACACUUCCUUCUACUUAGAAAACCACCAAUUUGGUUGUAAACUGUACUGGUAGAAAAUACAGUACAAUGAUUUGUCAAACCUUGCACUACGUUACCACAGAUAUCACCGACCAAACGUCAAGAGUUUCCUUUCAAAUACAAGACAAUUUUUUUUAAAGAGAAGGUAGGAAAAUACAUCGUCACACAAGACACUAAAAGUACAACAGCAGACCACUCCUGUAAGGCAAAAUCAGGUGAUUUCACAGUGACAACUUCAAAUGAUUACUUGUUCCGUUUUCUUUUUUUUAAAAUAGUCAUAUGUUUCCAUACCUUAGAAUGAAUUGUUUGGAGCUAUUCACCGGCAACAAAUAACAGUUAAUCUGAUUCAUUCAUUUCAAUAGAUUAAUAUCUUCAAUCUCUUGCUUUGAGAAGUGAGCCAUCUUAAUAUAGGUUACUAUUUAAGCUGUUGAUGGGGGGUGAAUUUUAUUUGCAAACACAGCAUUACCAAAACCUGGAGCUGGUGCUAAAAGCUGUUGUGAAAAGCUGUUGUGUUCUGAUUUUGUUCCAUUUUUGCUGGGCUCUAACCGCACCAACAUCUACAAAGUCCUACAUCAAAUAAAUGGCACAACCAAUGCCUACCAGCAAGUAUGGGGAGGUUUUGCAGUCCUUAAUUAGCUUAUUAAACACAAAUAAUAAAUAGACACGACCUGAACAGGUGCAUUUCAACACAACGUCGACAGAAGUACGAAUUUUGGCAUCACACGUGAAACAAAAGAAUAAAUAUAUCGAGUCUUCAAAACAAAUAAAUAAGGGCAUAAAUAAAAAUACGUAUAAAUACACAAUCAUCAACAUAUAGUGCAUGAGAAAAAUAUAAACAUUUGGUUGUCAAAAAUAAAGCUUUUGUUUGGGGGAUGCGAGCGACGUUGGCGACGGGGUGGCUGCAGCGCGGUGACCAAUCCUGUGGCUUCUUCUGCGUUCUAAACUUCGGGUUCUGACUUCUUUUAACGACAGCAUUUUGGACAUUUUGGCCGGGUUUCAGCCCCAUGCUGCUCUUCAGCAAACGAUACCAAUAAACAAAAGUAAAAACAUCAUUUAACUUUAUAAAAAAAACAAAAAACAAAUGUGGGCUGUUGGAAUAUAUCGGACGUGAAAUGACAAAUAAAAGAAAAGAAACUGCCAGCGAGCAAAAGCACCGGGCAACCAAUCACCUUCGAGCCACGCGG